CUCUAGUGCCCAAUGACGAGAACACUAAUUCAAAGUUUCUCCAGAGAUUUCUUUUCAUGAACGUGAGAUACAGCAAAGUCCCUUUCUUCAGUGCUAAAAAUUUUGUUAUCGGCUUUCAUUUUGUAGUAUUUUAUAUGCGAAGUGAUGAUACUGAAAAUUAAUGUAGUUAGUUAAUUAAGCUCCAUUAAUAGCUGAGAAAUAUUUCACAAUUUUUCCACUACAAAUUAUGUGUUAUAUUUGUUUGGUUUCUUUACUUUAUUUUGCUGUUAUGGGUUUUUGAUCAAAAUAGCCUUGCACGGGAAGCAAAAGAUGUUUGCUGAUUACAUUUGUUACUUCCCCGCUCUGUGAAAAGGAACCAGACCUACGUUGGAAAUGUCGUGCUUCAAGCAGUUCGGACUGCAGCUACACAUGAGACUUACGUAGGAUAUUUUUGUAAAAAUACACAGGUUGCUGCAAAUGAAACAUCAACAGAACAAACAUCUUUGCCAUCAAAGGAGACGUCUAGUGUCUCGUCUAGUGUCUCACCUAGUGUCUCAUCUUCCUCCAGUGUCACACAGACUCCUGAACCAGAAACACACGGGAAUGACCAUAUUUCAGGAAAAGAACUCUCCACUUCAUUAGUGGCAGCCCUCAGCAUUUUCUUUGUGCUCUUUUUAUUUUUGUUGUUAUUAGUAUUUGGUGUGCACGAAAAAAGUCAAAGGAGCGAAGAAGAAAUGAAGACAGACAGACAGUGUGAUCACUGCCACGCCAUUUCACCUCAUCUGAAAUAAGACUGUGAAAGCAUCUUGCGGUGAAUUGUCAAAAAUCAACAGGACAGAUUCUGUUCUUUAGCAGUCCUUGCCGAGAAGCAAAGAAUUAAAACAGACACACGCACAGAAUCUUUUUGUCCCAUGAACAUUUCUGCUACUGGAAUCUGAGCGAGGCUGGGUGGCUGGAAGCAACCACAUUGGAGGCAAACUCGAUGCUUUUUGUUGAUAGUGCUUGUUUCUUUGAUAGAAAGACAUGGGUCCUUUGACAGAGAAUUUCAAACCAGUUGUUUGCAAAAGCACUAAGUUCUGUUCUCAGACAUCACUGUAUAAUCAUGUUUUAGUCCUAUUCAAAUACUUGGCCACAUGUGCUCAAGUACAGUAAGAGAGAAGCCCAGAGAGACAUCUGUGUUGUCCAGUUUGGGGACUCCAGUCUGUGUGCAAGAGCAGGGAGUGGUGUAGUCUAACUCAACACCAUUGAUACAAUUUGUGUGAGUUCCCCUUGUAGAGAUAUGUUCUCUUGUGCUCCUCCCUUGCCUCAGUUAACCCCUAAACAUUCUCUUUUUCACCUUGUUUUGCAUAGCCACAAUGUAGCUUUAAUAAGUGAAAUGCCUGGGCUAAGUUUAGUGGAACUACUUUGCAUUCAUAUGGAGUAUACCUGACAGCCAUUCUGCACCUCUAUUUUGAAAAAAAAAGUAAAAUAAAUUUCUGGAGGUCCCUUUACUUAAAAUUUUC
rnacentral:lncRNA from 1 species